AAAAACAAACAAACAAAAAGCCAACUAACCAUUUAAAGUGAGACUUUAACAUCAGAAAAAGGAUGGACUUGUUGCAGUUGCUGUAGCAUUCAAAGUCCAGGUGAUCAUUUCAAACCAAGCAUCAGCAGCAAUUAAAAACGUUCACAUGGUAUCUGUAGUUUAAUCAUGGGCCAACAUCAACAUUUGAAUAAAACAGCAGAGUCAGCAUCUUCAGAGAAAAAGAAAACAAGACGCUGCAAUGGAUUCAAGAUGUUCUUGGCAGCCCUGUCAUUCAGCUAUAUUGCUAGAGCACUAGGUGGAAUCAUUAUGAAAAUGUCCAUCACUCAAAUAGAAAGGAGAUUUGACAUAUCUUCUUCUCUUGCUGGUUUAAUUGAUGGAAGUUUUGAAAUUGGAAAUUUGCUUGUGAUUGUAUUUGUAAGUUACUUUGGAUCUAAACUACACAGACCAAAGUUAAUCGGAAUUGGUUGUCUCAUUAUGGGAACUGGAAGUAUUUUGACAGCUUUACCACAUUUCUUCAUGGGAUAUUACAGGUAUUCUAAAGAAACCCAUAUUAAUCCAUCAGAAAAUUCAACAUCAAGUUUAUCAACCUGUUUAAUUAAUCAAAUCUUAUCAUUCAAUAGAACAUCACCUGAGAUAGUAGAAAAAGAUUGUGUGAAGGAAUCUGGGUCACACAUGUGGAUGUAUGUCUUCAUGGGUAAUAUGCUUCGUGGUAUAGGGGAAACCCCCAUAGGACCAUUGGGGAUUUCGUACAUUGAUGAUUUUGCAAAAGAAGGACAUUCUUCCUUGUAUGUAGGUAGUUUGAAUGCAAUAGGAAUGAUUGGUCCAGUCAUUGGCUUUAUCCUGGGAUCUCUGUUUGCUAAAAUGUAUGUGGAUAUUGGAUAUGUAGAUCUGAGCACUAUCAGGAUAACUCCUAAGGAUUCUCGUUGGGUUGGAGCUUGGUGGCUUGGUUUCCUUGUGUCUGGACUAUUUUCCAUUACUUCUUCCAUACCAUUUUUUUUCUUGCCCCAAAAUCCAAAUAAACCACAAAAAGAAAGAAAAGUUUCACUCUCUUUGCAUGUGCUGAAAACAAAUGAUGAAAGAAGUCAAACAGCUAAUUUGACCAACCGAGGAAAAAAAGUUACAAAAAAUGUGACUGGUUUUUUCCAGUCUUUGAAAAGCCUCCUUACCAAUCCCCUGUAUGUUAUGUUCGUGCUUUUGACAUUGUUACAAAUAAGCAGCUUUAUCGGUUCUUUUACUUACAUCUUUAAAUAUAUGGAGCAACAGUAUGGUCAGUCUGCAUCUCAGGCUAACUUUUUGCUGGGAGUCAUAACCAUUCCUACGAUUGCAACUGGAAUGUUUUUAGGAGGAUAUAUCAUUAAAAAAUUCAAAUUGUCUUUAGUUGGAAUUGCCAAAUUUUCACUUCUUACUUCGAUAAUAUCCUUCUUGUUUCAACUUAUUUAUUUCCCUCUAAUCUGUGAAAGCAAAUCAGUUGCCGGCCUAACCUUGACCUAUGAUGGAAAUAAUUCAGUGGCAUCUCAUAUAGAUGUACCACUUUCUUAUUGCAACUCAGAGUGCAAUUGUGAUGAAAGUCAAUGGGAACCAGUCUGUGGGAACAAUGGAAUAACUUACCUGUCACCUUGUCUAGCAGGAUGCAAAUCCUUAAGUGGUAUUAAGAAGUCUACAGUGUUUUAUAACUGUAGCUGUGUGGAAGUAACUGGUCUCCAGAACAGAAAUUACUCAGCGCACUUGGGUGAAUGCCCAAGAGAUGAUGCCUGUACAAGGAAAUUUUACAUCUAUGUUGCAAUUCAAGUCAUAAACUCUUGGUUCUCUGCAACAGGAGGUACCGUAUGUAUCUUGCUGAUUGUGAAGACUUCCAAUACUGUGUUGAAUAGGAGUGGUGAAAAUGGGCAUCCUCAUCUUGGAUCCAUUCUUAGAAGUAAUGCUUACAAUUUUCCCCCAUUUGGAUUGUUCAACCUGAAUUGAAAGCACUUGCAAUGGGUUUUCAUUCAAUGGUUAUAAGAACACUAGGAGGAAUUCUAGCUCCAAUAUAUUUUGGGGCUCUGAUUGAUAAAACAUGUAUGAAGUGGUCCACCACCAGCUGUGGAGCACGAGGGGCUUGUAGGAUAUAUAAUUCCGUAUUUUUGGGAAGGGUCUACUUGGGCUUAUCUACGGCUUUAAGAUUCUCAGCACUUGUUUUAUAUAUCGUAUUCAUUUUUGUUAUGAAGAAAAAAUUUCAAGGAAAGGAUACCAAGGCAUCAGACAAUGAAAGAAAAGUAAUGGAUGAAGCAAACUUAGAAUUCUUAAAUAACGGUGAACAUUUUGUACCUUCUGCUGGAGCAGACAGUAAAACAUGUAAUUUGGACAUGCAAGACAAUGCUGCUGCCAACUAACAUUGUAUUGAUUCAUUAAGAUGUUAUUUUUGAGGUGUUCCUGGUCUUUUCACUGACAAUUCCAACAUUCUUUACUUGUAGUGGACCAAUGGAAAAGACUAUGAAUUUAAAUAAACUAUAAAAAAUGGGAGUUCCUAUGGUUAGGAUAUAGCUAUGCCUUUAUGGUUAAGCUUAGAAUAUAUGAUCCAUAAAAAUUUAAAGUGAGAAGCAUGGUUAGUAUGUAAUACAAUAAAAAGUAAUUGUUUUGUAGUUGUAACUGCUAAUAAAACCAGUGACUAGAAUAUAAGGGAGGUAAAAGGGAGAAGAUAGAAUAAUAGCCUAAAUAAAGAGAAAAACCUGAUGCCUAAAAAAAAAAAAAAAAGAAAGAAAGAAAGAAAGAAACACUUUAGAUGUAUUACUUUGGCCAAAAUCUAGCCUGGAUUUAUGCUAUAAUGAUAUAUACUUUUCAUGUUAAGUUGUAUAUUUUUCAGAAAUUACAAAUAUUAUUAAUUUUAAAAUUUGAAUUUGUGUUUGACUAACAACCUCGAUGGAUCUUCUUCCAACCUCCCAUUAAAAUCCUGCAGGAGAAUUGUGAGACAAUAUAUUAUAAUACGUGUUAAGUUUCUACUGGACCCAUGGAAGUAGAUAAGAAAAACUGACUUUAACUUGAGAAAGCAAAACCUAUUGAUAAGAUAUGUCUUCAUUGCAUCUGUCUGUUCUCUGGGAGAAGGAAAAUAUGUGUUACUCUCUUGCAUA